ACUCCGCACCGGCCAAUGGCACCGCCCCGUCCGCCCCGCUCUGGGAACGCCGGGAUUCUUCUGGACAAGGAUGUGGUCAUAGAGGUCACAGGCUGAGAAUCAAUGGAGACACGUGGUGCUCAUCUGCUUAUGAGGAAGAUGCCACUUUCUUGCUUGGUCCACUGAUGGCUCCAGCAGAUGUGACAUAGACUGGAAGUGAUGGACCCAGACAACAAUCAGAACCAAAGCACCAGAUGAGCCACCUCAGCCACGUGAGCCAUGCCAGCCACCCUACCUGUGACCCCAUCUGUGGCCCCAGUUAUCAUGGAGUAGAGCCCUUUCUCUGUCUACAAAACCAACUUCCUCGCCCAGCUCAUGGGAACACUUAUUCUGUUGUAUAGAAUGAAGUGUUGCUUGAUUCUAGAAUCAUGCCAUUAAGAACAUUCAUGAUUCAUGAGAGGAGAUCAAAAUAUCAACAUAAACAGGAGUUUGAAAGAAGUUGAUUUCAACCCUUGUGGAUGACUAUGAGAGAUUCAAGGCUUCAGUGGAGAAUGCACCUACAGAUAUGGUGGAAACAGCAAAAGAAAUAGAAUCAGAAGUGGAGCCUGAAGAUUAAACUGAAUUGCUGCAAUCUCAUGAUAAAACUUGAACAGAUGAGGAGUUGCUUCUUACAGGUCUGUGGAUCAACACUGUCUCCCUGGCCUCUACCCAGCGCGCAGGACCCCUUAGCAGAGCAGGAGAACUCAGGAUCCAGCCAGCUGCCGGCACACUUUCGUCCUCCUCCGCACACGAGGAUCCCCAGGCCCAGCGGUGUUAGCCCAGAGAGGAGCGGCGUUUGGGAUGUGAUCCACAGCUGAUCCCUCGUGGCCCCUCCUCUCCCGAAUCCUGAAACAUGAGGAGGCCCUUCAGCUGCUGGCUCGGAGUCCGACUAUGGGAACUUUCUCCGGUCUACGGGGGCAGCAAGGGUCUCGCCUCAGGGACUUGGUUUAUUUAUCUAGCUGGACUCCAUCCCUUAAUAUCCUACUUACAGAGGAAGAGGCUUUAGCAGCUAAAUGCAGCCCCAUCCCCUCCUGUGGAGACUGUGAGCAGAAAAAGAACAGAUAUUUACAGAGGCCCGAGCCCCCCUUGUUGUUUUCUGCAAGGCUGUCGAGCUGGUGGAGCUUCAGGAUCCUGGUCAGGAACCCCGAACCCAGCGCUGGAGGCCCUGAAGAUCAGGGCACCCGACCCUCUUCCCAGCCGCCAAAGGCCUGUGUUGGUCUGAUUGUGGAUUCCAAGCUCUAAUUUCCAUCCAUCCUCCCAAUCCGAAUUCCCUUUGCAGACAUAAACACCAUCAGCAAUGUAGAGAAUGUGUUUCCUCAUCUUUGAAUAUUAACACUCAUCUGUUUAAUUGAGCUACUUUUUACAUACAUGUAAGAUGUGCUGCAAUUGCAAAAGAAACAUGUGCUUCGUGUUCUAUAAGCCAUAUCUUCCGCAAGACCUGCCAUCAAAUGAUUGCUCAAACAUUUGUUGAAUGGGAUGAGCAAUGGAGGUUCAGACAGGUGCCCUGACCUACCCAGGCUGGAGGGUAGGGAGCUAGAAAUUCAUACAACCAUGCCUUGUUCUACUUGUUUUGUGAAAGAAUCAUGUGACCAGUGACAAAGAGGCUGGGCAGCUGGGUCAGGCAGCAGGGACAGCGACUGAGCUGGGGGGACUACAGUGCUGUGCUCCUCUGCACCCGUGCUGGGAUGUCUGAGGCCAAGCUGACACUGGCCCCCCACAAUCCCUUGGGGCUGCUCCUCCUCAGGGAGUGGCUCUCCGGGUUUCCUGCUUGACUCCUGCUGCUCUUGUGUUGAAGGGCCGUCUCUGGGCAGCUCCCCCUGGCCCCUGGCCAGAGAGCCAGGCCCUGUCAGGCACGCACAUGGAGGAUGAGGGAGGUGCAGUUGUUUUCACAGGUGCAGACUCUAGAGGGACCCCACGUGGACUCUGUGGCUUCUGCCCCGACGCACUCGCGGGAGGACACAGCUCUGCCCGGAAGGGAGAGUGCUGAGCUGGGUCCCUGCUGCUCAUCUCUGUGGCAUCACCCUGUCAGUCCUUCCCUGUCACACAUAUGUUCCGCAAGACCUGCCGUCAAAUAUUUGCUCAGUCAAACAUUUGUUGAAUGGGAUG
ensembl:lncRNA TMEM72-AS1 TMEM72 antisense RNA 1